AAUGUAUUCUCAUCAGCCAGGGUGGUGGCACUGCUGGCGUUACUUUCUUUGGCUGGUGGUUCUCCGUCGUACUGACAGGACCAGUUAGAGCAGGCCGUUUGGCAACUGGCAAUCUUCUGUCUGGCAUCACAAAGCUGUUCUAGGCUCAAGCCGAGAGAAUCCUACGAGCACCAUAAAAAGUGUCACUAAAGACAGCCACCAACAACCACAAGCCCCACAACCCGUAAAAUAACGUACCUGCAACAAUGCUGGUCCCAUCACUGGCACAAGAAAUCCUUGAUACAAGAACUCCAGCAACUGUUUUUGUACCAGAGGAUGUGCUACCUGAGCUACAGCAUUGCAGAAUUCUAGG